AGCCAGCAGACUGUGGACUGGACCCUCUACAAACUCUACGUCAGAAAAAGACUGGGAGGAUGAAUGUACUAUACGCCAUGGCCAUUUAAUAAUGAUGAACCACACAUUGUAAGAGCUGUCUACAACAGAACCCUUGGCAACACACAUUAGAAAUUUAUUACAUGUCUCAGCUUUAUUACCCUAAUGAAGUAUCACACAGUCCCCUGCCAUGGUGGCCAUCAUCAUCAUCAUCACCAUCAUCAUCAUCAUCAUCGUCGUCCUCGUCGUCAUCACUGUCAGAAUCAUCAUAGCCCUUUGGGGAAGAAGGACCAAAUGGGAAGGCAUGAACCUAAGGGAGAGGAUAAGUUACAGAGAAAGGGACGCAGCAAAGCAAGAGGAAAUGGAAUGAGACUGAGAGCGGUAAAACUCUUGGAGCCAUUGCAAGAAGCUGUGUCAAAACAAAAAUUUGAGGUUCCAGGUUCUUACUGAGAAGAACACAUAGUCAAGGGUGAAGUUCAAUGUCACAUGCAAAGAAGGAAACUAUAGGUUGUUAAAUGGGGGAAUUGGACCACUGGAGUUUUCCUCAACAUCUUAUAGAGAAGUCUGUACUUCCUGCAUGACCUAGGAAAAGACCAGAAAGCCAAAGGAGUGCCUUUUCUGAGAAAGGCUGACCAGUGCCCUACAUUUCUGUUCCCCAGAGUUGCUUACUUGUUCCCUCAACUCUGAUGUCUGCCUGCAGAUAGACCACAGUUACUGAAAAUUGUCCUUUUCCGUCUGUUUCUUAAGCUGAAAGCAACAAUAACAUUACCUUCAAAGGCUAUUCUAAGAGUUGAAACGUUAUAAAGAUAACAAAUUAUAUGUCACAGAGUUUUUAUAAUAUCUUAAAGAUUCAGGCCAGAAGCAUAUGGAUGUCUUGGGAGACCCCUAUGUUCUAAAAAAAAAAUCUAAAAGAUGGAUCUAAAAUCUAAAUCAAGGAUGAUGUAUGUGUAAGUCAAGGGCAUCCAUUGUUACCUUCCUCUCUGCUGUGCAAUUCUUAGGCAGCCUGGUCUUUAUUGACUUCUAGCCUCUAAAUUUCUGCAGCUUUUAGUUUCUAACACAGAGGUACACCCACAUCUUGACGUCCUUUGUCCACACAUCUUUUUCUGGACAGCAGUCUUCUCCGAGAAGAAGCUGAAAACUCCUUGAGAACAGUGAUAACUGUCAGUUGUUUUUGUGUCCUCUGCGGUACCUAACACAAGGUCACUCUCGGACUUGUUUGGUUCCUGUUGAUUUUUAAUCAGCAAAACAUUCCCUUCUAUAACAGUGAUUGUCAAUACUGCUUGCACAUUACAUUCACUGAGGACAUUUUAUAAGACAGUGAUGUUCAACUCCAUCACCAGAGUCUGCUUUAGUUGGCCUUGGAUAAAAUGUGGGCAUUUCUCUAACUUUUCCUCAGGUGAUUAUAAUUUACUUGUUAAGGGGAAUUCUAUAAGCUGGGUGGUGAGAUGAAAGCAGUCAAAUUUUCAUAUUGACCUGAACUAUACUAAAGUUGAAAAGGUUAAUUAUCUGGGAAUCUUAAAGGUUCUUUAACACAUGAUCUCUGAAGACCCUGGGGAAUGGGAGUCUAAUAUGCACCACAGUUGAUAUCUACUGUAGAGCUAGUGUGAAAAUAUCACUGUAUAGGCUCCGUAGUAGCACCUACAUGGAAAUGAAAGAAGGCAAAGGUGACCGUGGGAAGGUGGCCCAGGGGAGUAUUGUUUGAGAUGAUGCCUGGCAUUUGAUAAACACUCGAUUAAAUAAAAUAAAACAGGUCUCUUUAGUAUACGCCUUUUCAGAAUCUUCAGUAAUCUAAUAUGUGGUGAAUUUCCAAAGAGAAUA